rnacentral:rRNA from 1 species
GAUGAACGCUGGCGGCGUGCCUAAUACAUGCAAGUCGAGCGAACGGACGAGAAGCUUGCUUUUCUGAUGUUAGCGGCGGACGGGUGAGUAACACGUGGAUAACCUACCUAUAAGACUGGGAUAACUUCGGGAAACCGGAGCUAAUACCGGAUAAUAUUUUGAACCGCAUGGUUCAAAAGUGAAAGACGGUCUUGCUGUCACUUAUAGAUGGAUCCGCGCUGCAUUAGCUAGUUGGUAAGGUAACGGCUUACCAAGGCAACGAUGCAUAGCCGACCUGAGAGGGUGGUCGGCCACACUGGAACUGAGGCACGGUCCAGACUCCUACGGGAGGCAGCAGUAGGGAAUCUUCCGCAAUGGGCGAAAGCCUGACGGAGCAAAGCCGCGUGAGUGAUGAAGGUCUUCGGAUCGUAAAACUCUGUUAUUAGGGAAGAACAUAUGUGUAAGUAACUGUGCACAUCUUGACGGUACCUAAUCAGAAAGCCACGGCUAACUACGUG